rnacentral:rRNA from 1 species
AGAGUUUGAUCCUGGCUCAGGAUGAACGCUGGCGGCGUGCCUAAUACAUGCAAGUCGAGCGAACGGACGAGAAGCUUGCUUCUCUGAUGUUAGCGGCGGACGGGUGAGUAACACGUGGAUAACCUACCUAUAAGACUGGGAUAACUUCGGGAAACCGGAGCUAAUACCGGAUAAUAUUUUGAACCGCAUGGUUCAAAAGUGAAAGACGGUCUUGCUGUCACUUAUAGAUGGAUCCGCGCUGCAUUAGCUAGUUGGUAAGGUAACGGCUUACCAAGGCAACGAUGCAUAGCCGACCUGAGAGGGUGAUCGGCCACACUGGAACUGAGACACGGUCCAGACUCCUACGGGAGGCAGCAGUAGGGAAUCUUCCGCAAUGGGCGAAAGCCUGACGGAGCAACGCCGCGUGAGUGAUGAAGGU